ensembl:lncRNA
GUGAGAGUGAAACUGUGUUUGGGGUAGUCAGUGAAAGUGUGCUGAUGAAAAAACAUCCCUGACAGGUAUAAUGUAGACAUCAGCUCAAUCUGAAUCUUAAGCUUCACGGUUAAGUUUAUGAACACACCUAUUGAAAUAAGAACAGACUGAAUGAAAAGCACCGGGAUGAAUUUUAUCCCUGGAAUUCGAUCUGUCCGUUUAACAGGAUUUUCAGUUGCGUUAAUGCUGUUAUCGACAUGCUCGUGCAGCGACCACCCUGUCGUUAAAGUUAAUGCUAUGGUUGGAGAAGCAGCAGCUCUUCCCUGCAUGUGUCCUCCUGACAGUCCUCCAUAUCUGGUCUGGCAGAAGACCAUCGCUGAUCAGGCACUUGUGGUUAAUUACUAUAAAGAUGACGACCAAGAAGAGAACCAAAUGGCACUCGAGUACAGGAACAGAACAGAGCUGAGGCUGACAGGAAACUGUUCUCUUGUGAUUCAUAGUGUGUGUUCAUCAGACCAAGGACUGUACACCUGUUACUAUAAGAGUAAACCUUUAAGGCAUGAAACAAUCUAUCUGGAGGUCACAGCAAAACAAGUACAAGAAAAAGAGUCAGAUGAACCUCAGAGCGUCUGGAGCACCAUUGUGAUGUCUUCAGUCUGCGGGUUUCUCGUCAUUUUGAUCACAAUUGCUGCAGCAUAUGUGAUAAUUACUUGCAGAAAUAGACAUCAGAUAAGAAGAACAUCCAUUGCAACAUCAAUGAGGAGCAUUUAACAGCUGUCAUUAAUAUAGUGAUCUUUAUCACUGUUUUUAGUGGCUUUUCAUGGAUGGUAGAAAAUGCAACAAACAAAACCAUCAAUAAUGUGCUCAAUCAGACUAUACUCAAAUACAAUGUUUAGUUUUCUCAAAAUCCCUGGAUCUGUCCAAAGUCUGCUGGAUUAUGUGUUUUAUUUCCUAUGGCAGAUUUUUGCUGAUAAAUAAACUGAUAUUUUGGUGCAGGUUAACAGAAAAAUUAUACAAAUUAUUAAUUUAUUUCUACUACUGACAUUUGUAAUAAUACAAAGCUGGUUGAAAAUUGGUGUAAAUGCAACUGUGAAUUGCCAACCAAUGGCUAUCAGCCAUCCAAAACACCCCAGCAAACCACAUAGCACCCAUCCUGAACACCCUAGGCAUUAGUAAAUGUAGUCAAACAGCAGGAAUCCACCACUGACCCAGAUAUCUAUGUGGGUUGUGUAACAUGUCUCGCAUUCCUGCAUUUAUUGCUUUUAAAGCAGUUUUUUGACAAAGAUGUUGAUUUCUUUCUUUCUUUCUUUCUUUCUUUCUUUCUUUCUUUCUUUCUUUCUUUCUUUCUUUCUUUCUUUCUUUCUUUCUUUCUUUCUUUCUUUCUUUCUUUCUUUCUUUCUUUCUUUCUUUCUUUCUUUCUUUAAAAAAAGCCUGAUGUUAUGUAUUAAUGCCAAAAAUGUUUUGUGAUUAAAUAUGUUUUGCCAUAUAUACAGUAUACCAACUAACAAGGAACAUUGUACAAACUUUGGUUAAUAUUAUUUCAGAAAUGUUAUUACAAUGUUUUAGUUGGACGCUCAUCCAAUUUUUUUUUUAAUAUUACUUGUUUCAGAACAUUCAGAACACAUUCAAAAGUAAUGAUCAAAUAAUGUUUGCAAAAUGAUCAAAUGUAAUGUUCCUGUUAUGUUUGCAUAACCAAGAAAAAAUGUUCAUAAAUUAUUUCAAUUAACAUUUUCAGAACCUAGGGGGAAUGUUAGCACAAUGUUUUUAUAACAUAUUUUGUUAGCUGUGAUAUUACUAAUAAAACAUCUGAAACUCUCAGUAUCCAAGCAUAACACUGGGAAAUGACUGAAAUGUAUAUUAUAUAAAACUGAACAAAAUGCCAGUGUGUUGCAAAAUGCCAUGAAUGUUCACCAAGCUAAAACAUUUGUUCUUAGCAGAUGUCACUCGUACUUGUAAUGGAGUGUGAAACGUCAGAUUGACUGUCAAUGCUGGUGGCAAAAUUCUAACACAAACUGUUCUGAAUGGUGACCUGAAAAAAGUGUUUGAUCUGAUCUAAACUAACUGGUUUUAUUCAGAUUGAAAAUAUAACAUGACUGAAUCAAGCUGAUGGGGAUUUAAAAUGCAUGUUUCUGUAUAUAUUUCUUAUCAAUAUUUGUCCAAAAUAAUCAUUAAAUUAUGAGAAAGACGUUUAAAAAAAUAUCUUGCUCAUGUAUUUGCAUUAAAUCAUCC